rnacentral:lncRNA from 1 species
AAAAUAAUAUAUUAGUUUAACUUAUAUUAAUAAUAUUAAAAAAAUACAAUUACAUUUGGAAUUUUUGUAAAAAUAUGCAUUUAAAAUAUGUUAGAGAUUAUUUUUUAUUUUUUAAAAUUUUUAAUUAAAUAUUUUAUAAUAUUUAUUUAUAUAAAUUAUGGUAGAAUGUUUGGUAGUAAAUAUAAAAAUCACAUUAUUACGCCUCAUAUGCAAGGAUACACUUUUGUAUUUCAUUGUUGCAAUUGUAUUAUAACAACAUAUAUAUUUUUUAAAUGAGUUUAAUGUCAAUAAUUUACUUAUUGUAAAUGAAA